GAUGAAGAACGCAGCGAAAUGCGAUAAGUAAUGUGAAUUGCAGAAUUCAGUGAAUCAUCGAAUCUUUGAACGCACAUUGCGCCCGCCAGUAUUCUGGCGGGCAUGCCUGUUCGAGCGUCAUUUCAACCAUCAAGCCCCCGGCUUGUGUUGGGGACCUGCGGCUGCCGCAGGCCCUGAGAACCAGUGGCGGGCUCGCUAGUCACUCCGAGCGUAGUAAUACAUCUCGCUCAGGGCGUGCUGCGGGUUCCGGCCGUUAAAAAGCCUUAUUUACCCAAGGUUGACCUCGGAUCAGGUAGGAAGACCCGCUGAACUUAAGCAUAUCAAUAAGCGGAGGA
rnacentral:misc_RNA from 1 species